GCACCUACCGAUUGAAUGGUCCGGUGAAGCCUCGGGAUUGUGGCGAGUUCCCUUUAUUGGGAGUUUGUCUCGAGAACUUGUCUAAACCUUAUCAUUUAGAGGAAGGUGAAGUCGUAACAAGGUUUCCGUAGGUGAACCUGCAGAAGGAUCAAGAUAGGAAGAGCCAACGGCUGACCUCCACUCACGUGGCUUUACAUCGUUUUCCCACUUCUGCUUGAAAAAAAAAAACUAUCAAUGUUAUUGCUGAUGUUUACUUAGUUCAUCAGCCAACGCAGA
rnacentral:misc_RNA from 1 species